rnacentral:lncRNA from 1 species
ACUUACUGCAAGCAUUUCUUCUCUUUGCUUCAAAGCCUCUUUGAUUUCCUUAAAUUGAAACUGCAAUAUGCUAUGAGCAUGCUUCUCUCUCUCAAAUUCUUUACUCUUUUCUUCAUAUUGCCUCCUGGAUUCUGCAAGCUGUUCCUCCAACUCUAAGAGUGCAUCCUUCAGGGUAUCUACUUGGUACAUGAAAUUUGUUUUUUCGUUGUCUAGUUGAGCAUUUGACACCAUAGCCUUUUUGUAUUUCUCUUCAACUUCAGCUAGAGAGUCCUUUAUUUCUCUAAUAGAUGCCUCUGUAUCUGCUGAGAUGGACGUAUCCCCACUGCCUCUUCGUGAAGAAGUCCCACCCAAGGAAGCUAAGGUAGCUGCUGAUAGACUUGAGACAGUACGUGCUCCCUUCUCAAAAUCUUUCUCUGGCCGCUCCUCAAUCUCUUUCUGCUGCCGUUCGAGUUCCUUCAUCCGGAUCUCCCGUGCCUCUGCCCGUGCUGCUCGCUUUGCCGCCAGCCUCGCUUCAGCCUCACGGGCGAUCUGGUUGAGCGCGUCGUCCUCCGCCGUCAGGCGUUCCCGGUUCGGCAGCCGCUUCCUGCCCGCUCCCUGCGUCCCCAUGGCGGAUGGAUGGGAUGCGGUCGAACCCGGCUCCGCGUUCCCCGCGCCUCACGGCUCCCGCCCGCCGCCUCACCCGCUCGCCGGCGCCGGCCCUGAGGAGCCCAACCG